rnacentral:rRNA from 1 species
AACGAACGCUGGCGGCAUGCCUAACACAUGCAAGUCGAACGAGACCUUCGGGUCUAGUUGCGCACGGGUGCGUAACGCGUGGGGACUUGCCCUUAGGUUCGGAAUACCUCCCCGAAAGAGGUGCUCAUACCGGUUAAUGUAAUCGGACCAAAGAUUUAUUGCCUCUGGAUCGGCACGCGUUGGCUUCGUCAGUUGGUAGGGGAAAAGCCUACCAAGGCGACGAUCCAUAGCUGGUCUGAGAGGAUGAUCAGCCACGCUGGGACGGAGACACGGCCUCGACUCCUACGCAGGGGGGCAGUGGGUAAUAGUGUAGAAUGGACGAAGGUGUGAUCCAGCAGUGCCGCGUGAGUGAUGAAGGCGUUAGGAUUGUACAUCUGUUUUACCCGAGAUGUUAGUGACAGUACCGGGAGAAUAAGCACCGGCUAACUCCGUG